UGGGGAAUAUUGGACAAUGGGCGAAAGCCUGAUCCAGCCAUGCCGCGUGUAUGAAGAAGGCCUUUUGGUUGUAAAGCACUUUAAGCGAGGAGGAGGCUACUUAGAUUAAUACUCUAGGAUAGUGGACGUUACUCGCAGAAUAAGCACCGGCUAACUCUGUGCCAGCAGCCGCGGUAAUACAGAGGGUGCGAGCGUUAAUCGGAUUUACUGGGCGUAAAGCGUGCGUAGGCGGCUUUUUAAGUCGGAUGUGAAAUCCCUGAGCUUAACUUAGGAAUUGCAUUCGAUACUGGGAAGCUAGAGUAUGGGAGAGGAUGGUAGAAUUCCAGGUGUAGCGGUGAAAUGCGUAGAGAUCUGGAGGAAUACCGAUGGCGAAGGCAGCCAUCUGGCCUAAUACUGACGCUGAGGUACGAAAGCAUGGGGAGCAAACAGG
rnacentral:rRNA from 1 species